GAAGCAAAAGGGCCACGACCUUCUCAUACUUAAUCCAAACUCAAGGCUGCAGGGCUAUAAGUACCCCCGCUCGUUGCUCUUCUUCUUCAAGCGCAUCCAUUCCGGCAAUACAUACUAAUAUCUUCCGCGGAAGUAGUUCUUACGAGUCUGAUAAUGGCGGGCUUGCUCGAGCAAGGACCAUGGGGUGGCAACGGUGGCAAAACCUGGGAUAUGGGACAGGCGGAUCACAUUAGCAACGUCAAAAUUCAUUACAACGAUGCCGUAUUCGCGUUUGACUUCACCUUCACUGUCGACGGCGUGAAGAAGACCAUCAACGUCGGAGGCAAACCCGAUGCACCCCAGUUCAAUGAGAUUACUCUAGCUGGGGACGAAUACUUCACUUCCAUCUCUGGAUAUUUCAAGACGAUGUGGAAUACAGGCAUUUAUGUAACACAACUUACUCUUAAGACCAACAAGGAUAAUUCUGUGAGCGCCGGCAAUGCGAUUGGUAGUCAAUUCUCCCUAAAUCUGGGGGAUAAGGGUAAGAUUCUACGCUUUUUUGGACGUGAAGGUUCUCCCAUCGAUGCCAUUGAGGCGAUCGGAGUUCACUGCACUAUCCCUAAAUAAAGACACGUCAUGCCCUGGGGUCUGUCUCUUAGUCCUCUCAGGAUGCUGCAAUGUAUCUGCUUGGUUGUGGUGACAAAUAAGUGGCAGCAAUCGUUGUUGUCAUCCUUGUUGUGUUUCUUUGAAUAAAACAAGAAAUAUGUUAUGGGUCCA